CCUACGGGAGGCAGCAGUGAGGAAUAUUGGUCAAUGGGCGCGAGCCUGAACCAGCCAAGUCGCGUGAGGGAAGACGGUCCUAUGGAUUGUAAACCUCUUUUGUCGGGGAGCAAAAGACGCCACGCGUGGCGUUCCGAGAGUACCCGAAGAAAAAGCAUCGGCUAACUCCGUGCCAGCAGCCGCGGUAAUACGGAGGAUGCGAGCGUUAUCCGGAUUUAUUGGGUUUAAAGGGUGCGCAGGCGGAAGAUCAAGCCAGCGGUAAAAUUGAGGGGCUCAACCUCUUCGAGCCGUUGAAACUGGUGUUCUUGAGUGAGUGGGAAGUAUGCGGAAUGCGUGGUGUAGCGGUGAAAUGCAUAGAUAUCACGCAGAACUCCGAUUGCGAAGGCAGCAUACCGGCGCUCAACUGACGCUCAUGCACGAAAGUGUGGGUAUCGAACAGGAUUAGAUACCCCUGUAGUC
rnacentral:rRNA from 1 species